UUUCAUUCGUGUACUGUUUUGUCAUGUUAGUUUUAAUCUCUGAUCUCUUGAUAUGUGUUAUAAAUUGCAGCUGAGGAAGACACCAACACUGGAGGAGUGGCUUCAAGAGUCAGAAAUUAACACAAAUUCUUCAUAUUCCCAUAACACCAGUGGUGGGUCAGUGUCGCAGAGCAAUUUAUUCAUAGGACCGAAGGAUAGUCUUUCGCUCUCACCACCCGGAAGAAAAGAGCAGGAUGGUGUUUCUCUUCCACCGUUGACAUCAACUACAUAUAGUGCCUUUUUCACUUCUAAUGUGACACCUCAGCAAAGUUACCAGGAAAGAUGCCUUAUUGACCAACAUUACAACCAACAUGGAUCACAGCCAAGUUCCCUUAAUGGCGUAAGCCACCAGUCAGUAUCCUCCGGCUACUUGACCUUUGAGAGGUUUGAAAACACCACCAGUGUCUCUGAAAGGAUUCAUGCAGAGAGAGAGAGCCAUGGCUUUGGCUCCUCAGACGGAGCUUAUGAAAAUAAUAUAGGUGGCUUUUUCCUUCACAACACCUCAAACACAAUCGCCAAGAUGCCAGAUAUUAUUAGCCACCCUCCCAUAGAUGGAGAGGAAUUAGAAAGGAGUGGACUGGAAUCAUCUAUUUGUAAUAACAUUAUAGUAGUAAAAGACAUGUGUUGCGCCUUGCUCCAGGAGGAUUCAGUCAUAUGUGACCAUUUACCAAUAGAGAAAUCUGAUAGCAGUCAUCUGGACAGCACAGAGGGUGAAGUUAACCUUCCCUUUACCACAGUACUUGACACUGAAGAAGAUCACAGUUUGGACAGAAUUGAGGGCCCAGUCUCUUCAUCAGAAAACAGUGACAUUUCAGACAACCUAGAGUCAUCACAGACAUCAAGCACUCAUCGCAUUCCAACGACAGAGCUGCCAAUUCCACACGACCCCAGAGAAUCAGAUCCAGCGGACAACCAUGUAGACGAAGCAAAGCCAUCUGAGGAGCCUUAUCGUCUGAGCCUCCAGGCCUUGCUGAAGAAAUCUCAGGAGUAUCGGCGGCGCCAGCGGAUGCUUAGGAACCAAGCCAAAAACACUAAAAUUCAGGAGAGGACCCAAGAACAGACAAGAGCAAGGGCGGAGGAGCAGAGCCUCUCUGAUAAGGAGAAUGACGAGUUCCCUUACAAGGGGACUGUGACUGCAGGUGGGAAGAAAACUAAAGAGAGGAGAAGCACUCUUUUCCCGUCGGUGGAAACGUCGCAAAAUAAAUCUUGGGAAAAUGAGAGUGAGAAUGAGUUUUUUGGGGAAAAGGCUAACUUUAAAUCUGAAAGCUCCCACUUAACAGGAGAUGGAAAUCCUAAGGAAACAACUAGUGUUGAGGAGGAAACAAUCCUCAAAAAUAAUAAGCUGAACAUUUCACAAGAGGUCAUAACGGAGCCUCAACAAAUCAGCGCCUUCCCCCAGCAACAGCAGCCCACGUCAAAAGAGACCUCGCCUGUUCAGGAAGCCUUUUACUUGACCACCUGUCCCGCAGCUUUUUAUAGUGGAGUAGGGAAAUAUCACACUAUCCCAGCCCCUAAUUUCUGUAGGAGUCCUGUGCACCGCAAAAGCAAAGGCAGUAUCCAAGAUGGAGAUGAUGGAGACGAUGGAGAAGCUGUCAAUGUGGCCAAGACCUCAAAGAGGAAAGUUUUGGUCGAUACCGGUUUGAUUGAAGACCACAAGGUUGAUGAAGUAAACCUGGGACAUAAAAACAGUAAGUCAGCAGUUCCUUUCACUGUGAAUGUCAUGGUUGAAGGUGACGUAACAAGCGUUUCAGCCAGGAGUUCACAGCACAUAGAUCAGCUUGAGUCCAACCUGUCCAGUCUGAAAGUAAUGAUCUCUGAUCUGGAGUCCACACUGACAGGAAACUUGAAGAAUCACAGCCAAACUGAGAGCAACACUCGCAGCGAGGUCACUUUUAAAGGCAUCAAGCACUCCCGUCAAAGGGAUUGUGACUACUGGGAGGACAAACCGAGGAAUGAUGAUGGUAGCAAUGAAGCAGAGCAAGACCAAAGGUACAGAGAGUGGCAGAGAAGACAGUUAUUAGACAAUUUCAAGAACAUGCAGGAAGAUACAGAAACUGACCUGAGCAUUAGUGACACAGACAAUGUUUCUGUCAUAAUGCAGGUAAAAGAAACUGAGGCAGUUAACGUAAGCGAGCUCAGGCUAGUCAAAACCUUAGCAACAGAGAGAGCAAAGGAAAAAGGGACAUGUAAUGAAGGGCUUGCAAAGAGUUACGGACAGCGUGGCGGCAGUAGAAAGCCCACAGCGAAAUGCAUCCUCUCUGUCACACAGCAGCAGCGAAUUCCCGAUGUAUUCAGAAAUGUUCCAUCUGCAACCACGGCUUCACCUAACGUCUCGGUGCCUUUGGAUACCAGUAACCAUCCAGUGGAAAGUAGGAACGAGACAGCUGCAGAUGGUCACGACUCUACCUGCUCGCCAUCUAUCAACCAGUCGUAUGAUGUGGAGGCACCGUCUGGCCUGUGGCUCCUCGAAGGGUCAGGGUCCGACAUGGGCUCAAAAGGUCAUCUUGUUCAAGAGAAACAUCUGACCCCAGAGAGUGGGGGUGAAAGCCAGGGCGGGGUAUCCAAAGUCAAACGGAGGCUGCUCAUGCACGUGACAGAGGAGACCGGGGAAAGGAGUGCAGAUGUCAGCAGAGGAGCAACCUCUGUGGUCAGACCCAACGCCAGCACUCCUAGAGAUGCACAGCCUUUAGCUGCAGUGCGGUGGUACGAAGGUCGUGGCGGUCAAGAAAAGCAGGAACAACUGAAACAGACCCAUGCUGCUCAGGUCAGAGCCCUGCAAGAGGAGCACAGGAGACAACAGGAAGAACUACUGCAGGCAUUGGCAGCGCGUUACCGUCUCCUCCAGAGCGUGUCCUUCCCUUGCUCCAUGUCAAGCUCACGUCUUGGGGACACGUUGGCCAUUUCUACCAUCUCUCAGCCCUCCAGCCCACUCUCAGGGCGCUGCCGCCCCCUGCUGUUAGCAGCUGUGAAAGGUUUUCUAGCUCGCAGGCUGCUGAAGACUGAGAGAGUGGCGCAGCUGGUGCGCACCAUCAGGGUGAGUAGAGACGGAAGGGUCACGUGA
ensembl:lncRNA